GAUGAACGCUGGCGGCGUGCUUAACACAUGCAAGUCGAACGAUGAAAGCGGGAGCUUGCUCCUGCUGGAUUAGUGGCGAACGGGUGAGUAACACGUGAGCAAUCUGCCCCGAACUCUGGGAUAAGCGUUGGAAACGACGUCUAAUAACGGAUACGACGCGCGAAGGCAACUUUUGCGACCGGAAAGAACUUCGGUUCGGGAUGAGUUCGCGGCCGAGCAGCUUGUUGGUGAGGUAACGGCCCACCAAGGCGACGACGGGUAGCCGGCCUGAGAGGGUGACCGGCCACACUGGGACUGAGACACGGCCCAGACUCCUACGGGAGGCAGCAGUGGGGAAUAUUGCACAAUGGGCGCAAGCCUGAUGCAGCAACGCCGCGUGAGGGACGACGGCCUUCGGGUUGUAAACCUCUUUUAGUAGGGAAGAAGCGAAAGUGACGGUACCUGCAGAAAAAGCACCGGCUAACUACGUGCCAGCCGCCGCCGUAAUAC
rnacentral:rRNA from 1 species